AGCGAACGCUGGCGGCAGGCCUAACACAUGCAAGUCGAACGAAGCCUUCGGGCUUAGUGGCGGACGGGUGAGUAACACGUGGGAACGUACCUUUUGGUUCGGAAUAACGCAGAGAAAUUUGCGCUAAUACCAAAUGAGCCCUUAGGGGGAAAGAUUUAUCGCCGAAAGAUCGGCCCGCGUUGGAUUAGGUAGUUGGUGUGGUAAAGGCGCACCAAGCCUAUGAUCCAUAGCUGGUCUGAGAGGAUGAUCAGCCACACUGGGACUGAGACACGGCCCAGACUCCUACGGGAGGCAGCAGUGGGGAAUCUUGCGCAAUGGGCGAAAGCCUGACGCAGCCAUGCCGCGUGAAUGAUGAAGGUCUUAGGAUUGUAAAAUUCUUUUACCAGGGACGAUAAUGACGGUACCUGGAGAAAAAGCCCCGGCUAACUUCGUGCCAGCAGCCGCGGUAAAAC
rnacentral:rRNA from 1 species